AGACGUAGGGGGCGAGCGUUGUCCGGAAUUACUGGGCGUAAAGAGCACGUAGGCGGGUAUUUAAGUCAGGUGUGAAAGACCGCGGCCCAACUGCGGGGUUGCACUUGAAACUGAAUAUCUUGAGGGCAGGAGAGGUCAGUGGAAUUCCUGGUGUAGCGGUGAAAUGCGUAGAUAUCAGGAGGAACACCAGUGGCGAAGGCGACUGACUGGACUGACCCUGACGCUGAGGUGCGAAAGCGUGGGUAGCAAACAGGAUUAGAUACCCUGGUAGUCCACGCCGUAAACGAUGGAUACUAGGUGUGGGAGGUAUCGACCCCUUCCGUGCCGGAGCUAACGCAAUAAGUAUCCCGCCUGGGGAGUACGGUCGCAAGGCUGAA
rnacentral:rRNA from 1 species